GACGAACGCUGGCGGCGUGCUUAACACAUGCAAGUCGAACGAUGAAGCUGGAGCUUGCUCCGGUGGAUUAGUGGCGAACGGGUGAGUAACACGUGAGCAAUCUGCCCUUGACUCUGGGAUAACUGCGGGAAACUGUAGCUAAUACCGGAUAUGAGGCUUGGAGGCACCUCCAGGUCUGGAAAGAAUUUCGGUCAAGGAUGAGCUCGCGGCCUAUCAGCUAGUUGGUGAGGUAAUGGCUCACCAAGGCGACGACGGGUAGCCGGCCUGAGAGGGGGACCGGCCACACUGGGACUGAGACACGGCCCAGACUCCUACGGGAGGCAGCAGUGGGGAAUAUUGCACAAUGGGCGAAAGCCUGAUGCAGCAGCGCCGCGUGAGGGAUGAAGGCCUUCGGGUUGUAAACCUCUUUUAGCAGGGAAGAAGCGAAAGUGACGGUACCUGCAGAAAAAGCACCGGUUAACUACGUGCCAGCCGCCGCCGUAA
rnacentral:rRNA from 1 species